GCUGGGCAUUGUGGUGGCUGCCUGUAAUCCCAGCUACUCAGGAGGCUGAGGCAGGAGAAUCGCUUGAACCUGGGAGGUGGAGGUUGCAGUGAGCCGAGAUGGCACCACUGCACUCCAGUCCAGGUGACAGAGUGAGAUUCUGUCUUUU
rnacentral:SRP_RNA from 2 species